rnacentral:rRNA from 1 species
AGGGUUUGAUCCUGGCUCAGAGUGAACGCUGGCGGCACGCCUAACACAUGCAAGUCGAGCGAUAAGCUGAACUUCGGUUUAGUGGACAGCGGCGGACGGGUGAGUAACGCGUGGGAAUUUACCAAGGAGUGGGGAACAACUGCUGGAAACGGCAGCUAAUACCGCAUACGCCCUAAGGGGGAAAGGCUUCGGCCGCUCCAUGAGAAGCCCGCGUACGAUUAGUUUGUUGGUAGGGUAAUGGCUUACCAAGACUACGAUCGUUAGCUGGUCUGAGAGGACGAUCAGCCACACUGGGACUGAGACACGGCCCAGACUCCCACGGGAGGCAGCAGUGGGGAAUAUUGGACAAUGGGCGAAAGCCUGAUCCAGCGAUGCCGCGUGAGUGAAGAAGGCCUUAGGGUUGUAAAGCUCUUUCGGUGGGGAAGAUAAUGACGGUACCCACAAAAGAAGCCCCGGCUAACUCCGUGCCAGCAGCCGCGGUAAUACGGAGGGGGCUAGCGUUACUCGGAAUUACUGGGCGUAAAGCGAGCGUAGGCGGUUAAUUAAGUUGAGGGUGAAAGCCCGGGGCUCAACCCCGGAAAUGCCCUCAAAACUAUUUGACUAGAGGACGGGAGAGGGGAGUGGAACUCCCAGUGUAGAGGUGAAAUUCGUAGAU